GGCGCAGGCGGUUUGGUCAGUCGGAUGUGAAAGCCCCGGGCUUAACCUGGGAAUUGCAUUCGAUACUGCCAGACUAGAGUAUGGGAGAGGGAAGUGGAAUUUCUAGUGUAGCGGUGAAAUGCGUAGAUAUUAGAAGGAACACCAGUGGCGAAGGCGGCUUCCUGGCCCAAUACUGACGCUCAGGCUCGAAAGCGUGGGGAGCGAACA
rnacentral:rRNA from 1 species